AUUGAACGCUGGCGGCAUGCCUUACACAUGCAAGUCGAACGGUAACAGGUCUUUCGGGAUGCUGACGAGUGGCGAACGGGUGAGUAAUACAUCGGAACGUGCCUAGUAGUGGGGGAUAACUACUCGAAAGAGUGGCUAAUGCCGCAUGAGAUCUAUGGAUGAAAGCAGGGGACCUUCGGGCCUUGUGCUACUAGAGCGGCCGAUGGCAGAUUAGGUAGUUGGUGAGAUAAAAGCUUACCAAGCCUACGAUCUGUAGCUGGUCUGAGAGGACGUUCAGCCACACUGGGACUGAGACACGGCCCAGACUCCUACGGGAGGCAGCAGUGGGGAAUUUUGGACAAUGGGCGCAAGCCUGAUCUAGCAAUGCCGCGUGCAGGAUGAAGGCCUUCGGGUUGUAAACUGCUUUUGUACGGAACGAAAAGUCUUGGGUUAAUACCCUGGGAUCAUGACGGUACCGUAAGAAUAAGCACCGGCUAACUACGUGCCAGCCGCCGCGGUAA
rnacentral:rRNA from 1 species